rnacentral:rRNA from 1 species
GAUGAACGCUAGCGGCAGGCCUAAUACAUGCAAGUCGAACGGUGUCUUCGGACAUAGUGGCGCACGGGUGCGUAACACGUAUGCAACCUACCUUACAUUGGGGGAUAGCCAUUCGAAAGGGAGAUUAAUACCGCAUAAGACAGUAGCUGGGCAUCCAGCAGCUGUUAAAGAUUUAUCGAUGUAAGCUGGGCAUGCGUCCAAUUAGCUAGUUGGUGAGGUAACGGCUCACCAAGGCAAUGAUUGGUAGGGGAACUGAGAGGUCAAUCCCCCACACUGGCACUGAGAUACGGGCCAGACUCCUACGGGAGGCAGCAGUAGGGAAUAUUGGGCAAUGGACGCAAGUCUGACCCAGCCAUGCCGCGUGCAGGAUGAGGGCGUUAUGCGUUGUAAACUGCUUUUAUACAGGAAGAAACGACUCUUGCGAGAGGCAUUGACGGUACUGUAUGAAUAAGCACCGGCUAACUCCGUGCCAGCAGCCGCGGUAAGAC